GCCCAUUAAAGCGGUACGCGAGCUGGGUUCAGAACGUCGUGAGACAGUUCGGUCCCUAUCCGUCGUGGGCGUAGGAAAUUUGAGAGGAGCUGUCCUUAGUACGAGAGGACCGGGAUGGACAUACCUCUGGUGUACCAGUUGUCGUGCCAACGGCAUAGCUGGGUAGCUAUGUGUGGACGGGAUAAGUGCUGAAAGCAUCUAAGCAUGAAGCCCCCCUCAAGAUGAGAUUUCCCAACUUCGGUUAUAAGAUCCCUCAAAGAUGAUGAGGUUAAUAGGUUCGAGGUGGAAGCAUGGUGACAUGUGGAGCUGACGAAUACUAAU
rnacentral:rRNA from 1 species